UAGGGAAUCUUCCACAAUGGGCGCAAGCCUGAUGGAGCAACACCGCGUGAGUGAAGAAGGGUUUCGGCUCGUAAAACUCUGUUGUUGAAGAAGAACGUGCGUGAGAGUAACUGUUCAUGCAGUGACGGUAUUCAACCAGGAAGUCACGGCUAACUACGUGCCAC
rnacentral:rRNA from 1 species